rnacentral:rRNA from 1 species
UACGUAGGUGGCAAGCGUUGUCCGGAAUUAUUGGGCGUAAAGCGCGCGCAGGUGGUUUCUUAAGUCUGAUGUGAAAGCCCACGGCUCAACCGUGGAGGGUCAUUGGAAACUGGGAGACUUGAGUGCAGAAGAGGAUAGUGGAAUUCCAAGUGUAGCGGUGAAAUGCGUAGAGAUUUGGAGGAACACCAGUGGCGAAGGCGACUAUCUGGUCUGUAACUGACACUGAGGCGCGAAAGCGUUGGGAGCAAACAGG